GUGGUGGCUGCGUUGGCCGGCGGGUGCGGCGCAGGUAUUGACUUCUUAGAGGGACAAGCGGCGUUCAGUCGCACGAAAUUGAGCAAUAACAGGUCUGUGAUGCCCUUAGAUGUCCGGGGCCGCACGUGCGCUACAAUGACGGUUUCAGCGAGUUUGGAAUCCUGGCCUGAGAAGGUUGGGUAAACUGAAUCAUAACCGUCGUGACUGGGAUCGGGGCUUGCAAUUGUUCCCCGUGAACGAGGAAUUCCUGGUAAGUGCAAGUCAUAAGCUUGCGCUGAUUACGUCCCUGCCCUUUGUACACACCGCCCGUCGCUACUACCGAUUGAAUGGUUUAGCAAGGUCCUCGGAUUGGUGCCAUUGUAGUGGCUUCGGCCGCUCGACCGGUGCUGAGAAGACGACCAAACUUGAUCAUUUAGAGGAAGUAAAAGUCGUAACAAGGUUUCGUAGUGAACCUGCGGAAGAUCAUUACCCGAUAUCCUAUUUUGCUGUUUGGAGAUUCACGGUGAUCGUCAUGUCACCCAAUACAAUCACAUUGACUAUGCCUGGCCCUUGUUGUCACAGCACAGGCGAAUAAUGCAGGGUGUCUACCCGUAUGAUCCUCUGAUGUAUGCAUGUGGUCUUCGGACCG
rnacentral:rRNA from 1 species